AUACGUAGGGGGCGAGCGUUGUCCGGAAUGAUUGGGCGUAAAGGGCGCGUAGGCGGCCCGGUAAGUCUGGAGUGAAAGUCCUGUUUUUAAGAUGGGAACUGCUUUGGAUACUGUCGGGCUUGAGUGCAGGAGAGGUAAGUGGAAUUCCCAGUGUAGCGGUGAAAUGCGUAGAGAUUGGGAGGAACACCAGUGGCGAAGGCGACUUACUGGACUGUAACUGACGCUGAGGCGCGAAAGUGUGGGGAGCAAACAGGAUUAGAUACCCUGGUAGUCCACACUGUAAACGAUGAAUGCUAGGUGUAGGGGGUAUCGACCCCUUCUGUGCCGCAGUCAACACAAUAAGCAUUCCGCCUGGGGAGUACGGCCGCAAGGUUGAAACUCAAAUGAAUUGGCGGGG
rnacentral:rRNA from 1 species